UGGAAUCCAUAGCCACUAUGUCUAAAG
rnacentral:piRNA from 1 species